rnacentral:rRNA from 1 species
GAUGAACGCUAGCGGCAGGCUUAACACAUGCAAGUCGAGGGGCAUCGAGAGUAGCAAUACUUGUCGGCGACCGGCGCAAGGGUGCGUAACACGUGAGCAACAUACCCGUUUCAGGAGGAUAACCGGAGGAAACUCUGCCUAAUACUCCAUGACAUCAUCAAACGGCAUCGUUUGAUGAUUAAAGAUUUAUCGGAAACGGCUUGGCUCGCGGGACAUUAGCUCGUUGGUGAGGUAACGGCUCACCAAGGCGACGAUGUCUAGGGGUUCUGAGAGGAAGGUCCCCCACACUGGAACUGAGACACGGUCCAGACUCCUACGGGAGGCAGCAGUGAGGAAUAUUGGACAAUGGUCGGAAGACUGAUCCAGCCAUGCCGCGUGAAGGUUACUGUCCUAUGGAUAUUAAACUUCUUUUGUAAUGAGAAGCAAUAAGGUGCACGUGUGCACCGAUGAGAGUAUCAUACGAAUAAGCAUCGGUAAC